GGGGGGGGGGGGGGGGGGGCUGGGCGCGGGCGGGGGGGGCGGGAGGGCCGUGCUGUUGUGUGGGGCUCGAGUGGCGGCCGGGGGAGUAACACGUGGGUCUCCUGCCCUUGACUUUGGGAGAACUUCGGGAGCCUGUGGCUAAUACCGGCUAGAGGCUCCUGCUGCAUGGUGUGGGUUGGGAAAUUUCGUCGGGCGGGGCUUGACUCUCGGCUCAUUAGCUUGUUGGUGUGGUAACGGCUCACCAAGACUGUGAUGGGUAGCUGGUCUGAGAGGACGAUCAGCCACACUGGGACUGAGACACGGCCCAGACUCCUACGGGAGGCAGCAGUGGGGAAUCUUGCGCAAUGCGCGAAAGCGUGACGCAGCAACGCCGCGUGGGGGAAGAAGGCCUUCGGGUUGUAAACCCCUUUCAGGAGGGACGAAGGUUCGGCGGUGAAUAGCCGUCCGGACUGACGGUACCUCCACAAGAAGCCCCGGCUAACUACGUG
rnacentral:rRNA from 1 species